CCCUUAGAUGUUCUGGGCUGCACGCGUGCUACACUGAUAUUGCCAAUAUGUCAUUCUUAUCCGAAAUGGAUUGGGUAAUCAAGUAAUGAAAUUUCAUGCUUGGAAUCGGUAAUUGCAAUUUUAUCGUGAACGAGGAAUUCCUAGUAAGCACUAGUCAUCAGCUAAUGUUGAUUAUGUCCCUGCCCUUUGUACACACCGCCCGUCGCUACUACUGAUUGGUUGUUCAAGUGAGAUGCUUAGACCCUUGUUGCAUGGUUCAUUAUUGUGCUCCGAAAGGAAAAAGUUUCAAGCUUGAGUGUCUAGAGGAAGUAAAAGUCGUAACA
rnacentral:rRNA from 1 species